rnacentral:tRNA from 1 species
AGAGAAAUGACUGAGUGGUUUAUAGUGAUAAAUUGCUAAUUUAUUAUAUAUAUAUAAAUAAUAUAUCAAGGGUUCAAAUCCCUUUUUCUCUAA